CUUCCCCUCCUGUUCCCUCUUCCCUAAUCAGUGGGGUGAGUUGGUGUUUUACUCUGGUUGGGUAAUCAGCAGAUCAGGGACACCUGCAGCGGGUAGUGGUUCACCUACGCAUUGUCUUCUCCUUCCAUAAAAGAAGGGCUCGGAUCUACAUUUGAUGCUGGACCCUUGUACCUAACUCAUUUUCCAUCACUACUCUCCAUGUGGACUCCUGCCUUGAGCUGAUCAUCUCAGCCAUCUCCACCUGGAUUGUGAUGCAGCCGUACCAUUCACCGUGCCACAGGCAGCUUCAAGACCCACGCUUCGAUUCACUGAGUCUCUUCCAUCCAUCUCCUCUGUUCUCAUUCCUCCCUACCAUUCUCCCAGUUGUCAGUGAAGUGUCUUUUUUUGCAUAGCAUACCAUAGUGUGUUGUUCUUGGUGCUAUUCCUGGUUUGAACUGUAGUGUGGACUUAUGGUUGUUAGACACAACGUAGUGCUGUGCAGUGUUUUCCGCCAUCGUGUUUUGGUGACAAAUGUCAUUUUGUUGUAGCUUUUAUGCCACUGUUUGUGCCACUUGUGUAUAGUCCCUGUGUAUUAAACCUUUAAUUGUGUUCUAGCUGCCUUCCUAUCUUUCCAAGCCUGGUAUUACCCUGUUAUGGUUCGUUCCUUACUUCUGUGAGCAACUCAGUGACACAUUCUGUACACCCCUGUAAAAACUGUCAGUUGUGUCCUACAACUUAUUGUUUAAUUGUAUUGUUUCUGUGCCUGGGUCUUGGUAAUUCCUGUGACCGUAUAGUCCAGCCACAGUGAGCCCAGCAUACAGUGACACCUGUGCUAUUCCAGCUCCCACCUUUCAGCAUGGCUCUUGCCAGUCAGAGUAUUAAGUCAACAUGAGCAACUCCUUCAUAAUCUGAAUGAAAAUAAUCACUCUUAAUUAAACCAAGCUUCUGUGUUAACUGAGAGUAGCUGACUUGGCCACUCAAGUAACUUCACUGUCCACUCUUGUCUGUUCCCAGAGUUCACCCCCUUCAGGCCAGUCAACCCACUUCUGUUGCUGAUGUUGUCCUGGUUCCCUGGUGUAGAGAAGGUUUUUUUUUUUUUUGUGUGUCCAAGAAAGAAAUGCUGUAGACUUAGGCUUGCGUCAGGCUUUCCUAACUCAGGUCUCUCUGUGUUCAAAAGGCAGCCCCUCACUUACACUCCUGAUUGUAUUUGCAUAGCAUAUCUGAUUAGUUUAGGCACAACUAGAAAAUGGGAAGCUGUGGUUUUGGAGAGUGAGGCAGAACUCAUACCCUGCCUUCACCUCUGAUAGGAAGAACUUUUUGUCUUUUUUUUUCCUCAUUAAAUACCAUACCUUUGCUGCAGAGUCCUGAUGCAACAAUGAGGCCUUGAAGGGGCAUUAUAUAUGAAUCACUGAAUGAGAUUCUCAAGGAUGCUUGUGGUGACGUGUCCAGACUAGAGCAACUCACAGCCAUGGUUAGCUCCCUGGAUAACUGCCAAUGAGAACACUAGCAAAAGAGGGAGGGUCUUGACUAUAACCCAGGUCCAAGGGUAUCUGCUCCUCCACAUGCCAUUCCUCAACUUCACCUGUCGUCUAUUCUGAGACAGUCCAUGCAAUUAAGUCCAACCAAGCUCACUCUUCAAGAAGAGAACCGCCGGAGGUCCACAGAUGCUUGUCUGUACUAUGGCAAGUUGGGCCAUUACAUCUCCAACUGUUCUUCUAGACUGGCAAACGGACUGUCAAACCAGUAACUGGGGAAUACUGGAGUGUUGAACCUCUGUGGAGGCCCCCAAUGACUGCAUCUCUCUGCUUCCCUCUGCUGGAUCAAUCCCUCCCUGUGACGGAUUUUGUUGAUUCCAGAGCAGAGGUAAGUUUCAUUGACUGUAACCUGGUGAGAUGGCUUCAAAUCUCCAAUGAACCACUGUUGUCUCCACUGGAAGUGAAGUCCUUAAAUGGAUUAAGUCUCACCCAAGUCAGCCAGAGGACUGUUCCUGUCACUCUUGUCCUGUCCAGUAACCACAGAAGAGGGUACCUGAGACUCAAAAGAAGUGCAGCGAUUCCUGGAGUUUGCCAACUUUUUGGCAUUUUAAGUCACUCCAGACUUGGCAGAUUCACAUCCUUUGUUUAACUGGCAUGCCCCAUCACCAUGACUGCUGUUGUUGGACCACCUUGUUUUACAACUCACACUUCGAGGUAUGUAAAGUCAUUAACAGGCCAUUAGCCACGUGAGCUGGAGUGACUAUAAACUGUAACGGUCUUUUCCCAGAACUGAAGAAGCCUCUUGCAUGAGAGGUGGAACCUACAAGAGAAAUCCAGUUGAUUUGUACUGGACCUCCUACCAAUAAAUUGUUAAAUUUUGUCUGUGCCUGAGUCUUGGUAUUUCCUGUGAUCAGUAUAUUAAAUACUUUCAGAGAUUUUUCUUAAACUAAAACAUUCUGAAACUCCACAACUCAAUUUGAAUAAGGCUAUAACUUUGCUUUAGUGGUACAGCUUUU
ensembl:lncRNA